CCUACGGGAGGCAGCAGUGAGGAAUAUUGGUCAAUGGGCGCGAGCCUGAACCAGCCAAGUCGCGUGAGGGAUGACGGUCCUACGGAUUGUAAACCUCUUUUGCCGGGGAGCAAGCGUGCGUUCGUGAACGCACGUCGAGAGUACCCGGAGAAAAAGCAUCGGCUAACUCCGUCCCAGCAGCCGCGGUAAUACGGAGGAUGCGAGCGUUAUCCGGAUUUAUUGGGUUGAAAGGGUGCGUAGGCGGGAUGCCAAGUCAGCGGUAAAAAUGCGGUGCUCAACGCCGUCGAGCCGUUGAAACUGGCGUUCUUGAGUGGGCGAGAAGUAUGCGGAAUGCGUGGUGUAGCGGUGAAAUGCAUAGAUAUCACGCAGAACUCCGAUUGCGAAGGCAGCAUACCGGCGCUCUACUGACGCUGAGGCACGAAAGCGUGGGUAUCGAACAGGAUUAGAUACCCUAGUAGUC
rnacentral:rRNA from 1 species